GAUUUGAUAAGAUCCAGUUGCUUACAGUAUCACACUGAAAGGAAUAAUUAGCUUGAAAGUGAAAUAGUUUUUGUAAAUAACUGGAGAACAUGAUGUUUUUAUUACUAUAGAUGAAAAUUAUAUGCAGAUGAU